rnacentral:lncRNA from 1 species
UUAUUGAUUUUGCAGACUCAGGCACGUCUACAAAUAAUCUAUGCAGUACACUUGCCUUCUGUUACAUUUUAUUCUUUUCUAAAAUGGUUGAUAACUUUGGGAAUACUGAUGUUUGCCUCUAUGUGAUAUUGGAUAGUGAUGCAUAGAGCUGAAGAAACUGUCCCUGGUAUUUUGGAGGAAAAGAGCUACUGAUCUUUCCUUGGUGAUGAAGAUUCUCUUGUUCAAUUUUUAAAUAAGAACUAUGUAACUACUUUUCUUUUAAGCUUCUGUAAAGCUUAAUUUUUUCUAGUCCAGUUGUUCAGAAAUUUUAGAUGUAUUCAAGAAUGCAUUUCAAUUUAAAUGAGUCUCUUAUGAGAAGUAUCCUUGCAGCUUCGUCCUUGCUCACUGCUUGGUUCUAAUCUCUCCUUUUAUCCU